rnacentral:lncRNA from 1 species
UUUUAAUUAAUUAUGUAUGUGGAAUUGUAUGUGUAAUUGGGGCAUUAGUGAGGUGUGGUGAGAGGAUUGGUGGGUAGUAGAAGAAUUAGAAUAAAUAAUAUAAUUAAAAUAAUUAGAGUUAUAGUUAUUUUGAUUAAUUAAUUAGAUAAAUGAGAGAAGAUGCUUUUGGGGUGGAAAAGAGGAAAUUAGAGAAUAUGAGGGGAGCGGUGAAAGUUAGGACAUAAGUUGAGCCUUAGUGUAAU